GUCCUUUUGUUUUUUUUUAAGGUCUGAUCUGCUCACUGAGGUUUUAAAGAGCCGCGGUAUUUUGACCGUGCGAAGGUAGCAUAAUCAUUAGUUUUUUAAUUGGAAACUAGUAUGAAUGGUUGGACGAGAAAAAUACUGUCUCUCUUUGAUUUGUUUGAAUUUUACUUUUAAGUUAAAAGGCUUAAAUUUUUUUGAAAGACGAGAAGACCCUAUAGAGUUUUAUUAAUUUUAUUUUAUUUUAUUUUGGAAAUUUUAUUUUUAGAAUUUAUAUUAAUUUUGUUGGGGUGACUAUAAAAUUAGUUAAACUUUUAUUUUAUAAAAACAUUUAUUUAUGAUUAUUUGAUCCAUUUUUAGUGAUUAAAAGAUAAAUUACCUUAGGGAUAACAGCGUAAUUUUCUUUGAGAGUUCUAAUCGAAAAGAAAGUUUGCGA
rnacentral:rRNA from 1 species